rnacentral:snoRNA from 1 species
AAACCAUGAUGUGGGCAAUGCCUAAGUUAGUCCUUGUAUCUAUCCCAAGCUUCAUAUAAUGUCUCACUAUCAAAUUGUAUGAACGAAGUGAUAUCGUUCCUUAUCUU